GAUGAACGCUGGCGGCGUGCCUAAUACAUGCAAGUCGAGCGAACAGACGAGGAGCCUGCUCCUCUGACGUUAGCGGCGGACGUGUGAGUAACACGUGGAUAACCUACCUAUAAGACUGGGAUAACUUCGGGAAACCGGAGCUAAUACCGGAUAAUAUAUUGAACCGCAGGGUUCAAGAGUGAAAGACGGUUUUGCUGUCACUUAUAGAUUGAUCCGCGCCGCAUUAGCUAGUUGGUAAGGUAACGGCUUACCAAGGCGACGAUGCGUAGCCGAUCUGAGAGGGUGAUCAGCCACACUGGAACUGAGACACGGUCCAGACUCCUACGGGAGGCAGCAGUAGGGAAUCUUCCGCAAUGGGCGAAAGCUUGACGGAGCAACGCCGCGUGAGUGAUGAAGGUCUUCGGAUCGUAAAACUCUGUUAUUCGGGAAGAACAAAUGUGUAAGUAACUAUGCACGUCUUGACGGUACCUAAUCAGAAAGCCACGGCUAACUACGUG
rnacentral:rRNA from 1 species